GGUUGUGAGGGCCCGGUGACUGGCAUUGUACCCACUCAUCUCUAGAGUUGAUUUGGUUGAUCUAGUUAGCUGGAUUGUUGUCCUCUUCAUCCCUCACAGCUCCAUUUGCAAACCUCCUUAAGCAGUGAGCUCAACUAAAGAGGGUGAUCGUCUCUGAAUAGAAGAGGACUGUCUUCUGUCAAGGGAAUAAGAGUACAUACACUCUCUAGCUAGAACCUCUAGACAGGCUCUCAUUUGUAUGAGCUGAAUUUUGAAAACCUAAGCAAUUGGUAGAUAAUAAUUGUGCAUAUGUAUGGGUCAUAGUGAUACUUUAA
rfam:Rattus norvegicus chromosome 11, whole genome shotgun sequence.